ACAAAUGUAUGAAUAAUGAAUGAUUCAUAUAUAUAGCACUUUAUUGUGUAUUGUUGUACACCCAAAACGCUUUACAAUCAUGU